CUUCUAUGUCCCCAAAAUCCCUAAAUUCUUCUUUCAUUCUUCUGUGUGUCCCAAAAUCCCUAUUUCCCAUGGCCGUCGUCGCUCCAGCCUCGUUGCCGUCAUCGCUCGCAUCGUCGCCAGCCGCAUCGCUUGUAUAAGACAUUUUUGUAGCACUGGCAUUGUGUUUUGAUGUCUCCAGGGGAAAAGCAAGCCAGCAUUUCAAGAGUGUUUUUCUCGAAUACAUGGUUGGUUUGGUCCUUACCAUUAUAGUCAUGAAUUGGUUCCAAGCUGCACAGGUUCAAAUGAAUCGCACGCACAAUCAACUAAAGGGUUGGAGUGAAGAGGUUGAAGUAUGUUAUAGUGGUACUUGUAUUGUCACAUUUGAACAAGUUUUGUAAAAUCUACUUUUUUUAAUUUAGAACUUUUAUUGAGAUACUAAUUAGAUGUUAAUUACUUUUUAUAUUUUUGGAUGUGUUAUAU